rnacentral:rRNA from 1 species
GAUGAACGCUAGCUACAGGCUUAACACAUGCGAGUCGAGGGGAAACGGCAUUAAGUGCUUGCACUUUUUGGACGUCGACCGGCGCACGGGUGAGUAACGCGUAUCCAACCUUCCCAUGACUAAGGGAUAACCUGCCGAAAGGCAGACUAAUACCUUAUGGUCUUCACUGACGGCAUCAGAUGUGAAGUAAAGAUUUAUCGGUUAUGGAUGGGGAUGCGUCUGAUUAGCUUGUUGGCGGGGUAACGGCCCACCAAGGCAACGAUCAGUAGGGGUUCUGAGAGGAAGGUCCCCCACAUUGGAACUGAAACACGGACCAAACUCCUACGGGAGGCAGCAGUGAGGAAUAUUAGUCAAUGGGCGAGAGCCUGAACCAGCCAAGUAGCGUGCAGGAUGACGGCCCUAUGGGUUGUAAACUGCUUUUGUAUGGGGAUAAAGUCAAUCACGUGUGAUUGUUUGCAGGUACCAUACGAAUAAGGACCGGCUAAUUCCGUG